GUAUUCGUGGAAAGGAGAGAUGGUUGGCAUCUCCCCUGUCGGGGACGGGAACAGCCUUCGGGCUUUACCUGUUACCAGCACAUCCGGUUAAGGCUUUUCACUUCGGUGGAUCUUAAAACCCAAUUUAUUU